rnacentral:rRNA from 1 species
UACGGAGGGGGCGAGCGUUGUUCGGAAUCAUUGGGCGUAAAGGGCAUGUAGGCGGUUUGGUAAGUUAAAAGUGAAAUGCCAGGGCUCAACCUUGGAGCUGCUUUUAAUACUGCCAGACUAGAGGCUGGGAGAGGAUAGCGGAAUUCCUAGUGUAGAGGUGAAAUUUGUAGAUAUUAGGAGGAACGCCGGUGGCGAAGGCGGCUAUCUGGCUCAGUACUGACGCUGAGGUGCGAAAGCG